rnacentral:rRNA from 1 species
AAUGGGGGAAACCCUGACGCAGCAACGCCGCGCGGGCGACGAAGGUCUUCGGAUUGUAAAGCCCUGUAUUCUGGGACGAUAAUGACGGUACCAGAGGAGGAAGCCCCGGCUAACUACGUGCCAGCAGCCGCGGUAAUACGUAGGUGGCAAGCGUUGUCCGGAAUUACUGGGCGUAAAGGGUGCGUAGGCGGAUAUUUAAGUGGGAUGUGAAAUACCUGAGCUCAACUCGGGUGCUGCAUUCCAAACUGGAUAUCUAGAGUGCAGGAGAGGAGAAUGGAAUUCCUAGUGUAGCGGUGAAAUGCGUAGAUAUUAGGAGGAACACCAGUGGCGAAGGCGGCUUUCUGGACGAUAACUGACGCUGAGGCGCGAAAGCGUGGGGAGCAAA